CAUUAUAUAUCUACCACUUUGCAAACCAUUCUCCCCUGGUUUUCGACCUAAAUUGCAAUCGCUUCCCUUUGCCUUUUUAUUUCCUUCUUCUAGCAACAAGAGACCAUGGCUGUCUUCCUGGGACAAGCACUUGCCACUUCAAUUAUUCAGGUGGCACUUGAUAGGUUGGCUUCUCAUGAGGUCAUAGACUACUUCAAAGGAAGGAAACUCAAUCAGAAUCAGAAAUUGCUACAAAACUUGGAGUUUGCGCUGUUAUCUGCUAACUCAGUGCUCAUUGAUGCAGAGGAGAAGCAAUUUACAAACUCAGCUGUGAAAAAAUGGCUGGACGAGCUUAAAGAUGCUGUUUAUGUUGCAGAUGACCUUCUGGAUGAGAUUGCCACAGAAGCUAAAUUUCAAACUCGCACUAAAAAGGUAUGGCGCUCCGUUUCUACUUUAUUUGACAAUAAGAUACAGUCUAAGCUAGACAACGUUCUAGGUAUAUUACAAAUACUCAUAGAACAAAAGAAGGUCCAUAAUCUGAAAGAGAUUGCCGGUGGAGUGCCACUACCACCACGACAAUUAACAACUUCUUGCCCUGAAGAAUAUGGUGUGUAUGGUAGAAAUAUUGAUAAGGAGGAGAUAUUUAAGAAGUUGCAAUUAGAUAAUGCAAAUGGUGAUGAGAUAUGUGUUGUUCCUAUAGUGGGCAUGGGUGGGGUUGGUAAAACAACCCUUGCUCGGCUUGUAUAUAAUGACAACCGAGUUAAGGAGAAUUUUGAUCUCAAAGCAUGGGUUUGUGUUUCAGACACAUUUGAUGGUUCUAGAAUAGCAAAAACUAUUCUUGAAGAGGUCACUUUGUCUAACUGUGACAUUCAUAGCUUGAAUUUGUUACAAAUUAGAAUAAGAGAGAGCUUAAAGGGAAAGAAGUUUCUUCUUGUUUUAGAUGAUGUUUGGAAUGAGGAAUAUAUUGCUUGGGAUGAUUUAGUUACAAUGUUUAGAUGUGGGGCACAAGAGAUCAAAAUCAUUAUUACAACAAGAAGUGAAAAAGUUGCUUCAAUUGUUCACCCAAUUUCAAGUCAUCGUCUAAUGCAAUUGUCAGAAGAAGAUUGUUGGUUGUUAUUUGCAAAGCAUGCAUUUAAAAAUGGAAAAUCAAGUGAAAAUUUUGAUAUAGAACUAAUUGGUAGAGAUAUUGUUCGUAAGUGUAAAGGCUUGCCUUUAGCUGCAAAAGCACUUGGGGGUAUGUUGCAGUUUAAACAAGACCUGAGAGAAUGGAAACAGAUUUUGGAGAGUGAUAUAUGGGAUCUACCCGAAGGUGAAAGUUAUAUCCUUCCAGCUCUAAGAUUGAGCUACCACUACCUCUCAUCACAUUUGAAACAAUGCUUUACUUAUUGCUCAAUCUUUCCAAAGGAUUAUGAAUUUUCAAAGGAGGAGCUAGUCUUGUUGUGGAUGGCAGAAGAUUUAUUGUUAAAACCCAAGGGAAAUAAAAGUAUGGAAGAAAUAGGUGAACAAUACUUUGAUGAGCUACUAUCAAGGUCGUUUUUUCAACGAUCAAAUAAGGAUGAACUAUGUUUCAUAAUGCAUGACCUUUUUAAUGACUUGGCAAAAUUUAUAUCGGGAGAAUUUUUUUUUAGGCUGGAUAUUGAUAAUUCGAGUGGAAUUACAAAAAAGAUUCGUCAUUUGUCAUAUUUUCGAACGAAAUUUGAUGUUCCUAAGAAAUUUGAAACGUUUUAUGAAGCCAAGAAUUUGAGAACCUUCUUGGGACUAGAAUUGCCAUUUAUGUCAAAUUUUCGGUGUAAUAAUAUAUCAAUGAUGGAGAUAAAUGAUUUGUUGUGCACAUUUAAUUGUUUACGGACGUUAUCAUUGUCUCUCUAUAGAUUAAUAUCUGUCUUACCUGAUUCUGUUGGGAAUUUGAAACAUCUUCGUUAUUUGAAUCUUAAUGCCACUGAUAUCAAAGGCUUGCCUGAUUCUGUGUGUGGUUUGUAUAAUUUGCAAACCUUGUUAUUGAAGAAUUGUCAUUGCCUCUUAGAGUUGCCAACCAACAUGGGAAGACUAGUAAACUUACGUCACCUAGACAUAAGAGGGACCCAUUUGAAAGGGAUGCCAAUAGACGUGGGUAAAUUAAGAAGUCUCCAAAAUUUAAGUGCUUUUUAUGUGGGAAAAGAAAAACGUAGUGGGAGUAGCAUUAAAGAUUUAGGAGAGCUUCCACAUCUUUUUGGAUCAUUGUGCAUAUCAAACUUAGAGAACGUUUAUCAAACAAGAGAUGCAAAGGAGGUUAAUUUGAAGGAUAAGAAGGGCUUGUCAGAGUUGGAGUUGAAAUGGAGAAGAUGUCAUGAGAACUAUGAUUCAAAACAUGAAAGAGAUGUGCUUGAGCAGUUGUGUCCUCAUACGAACUUGAAAUCUCUCUCUAUCAUAUCUUAUUAUGGUGCAGAAUAUCCAAGUUGGUUAGGAGCAUGUUCAUUCUCUAAUAUGGUGUCCCUAAAGCUUGACGAUUGUAAAUAUUGUUCCUCCUUGCCUCCACUUGGGCAGCUACCUUCCCUUAAGGAACUCUCAAUUGAAGGUUUGGACAGAGUAUCAUGUGUGGAUAGUGAGUUCUACGGGGAUGUCUCUUAUGCAACUAAUAAGCCAUUCAAAUCCCUAGAAAAAUUAACAUUUAUAUGGAUGCUAGAGUGGAAGGAAUGGUUUAUAUUUGAAGGUGAAGAUGAAGGCGGAGUUUUCCCAACCCUCCGAGAGCUUCGCAUUAUCGAAUGUCCCAAGCUAACAGGGGAUCUGCCCAGUCUACUUCCCUCUUUAAGUGUAAUUGAAAUUAGAAAUUGUCCCCAACUUGUUGCUUCACUUCCUAGUCCUUCGACUCUCCAUGAAUUGGCCUUGACGAAUUGUGAUAAGGUGGUGUUGAAGGAAUUAUCACCUAAGCUGCAAAGUCUCACAGUUGGAGGAUGCCAUGCGACUCUCCCUGAAGGUGGUCUACCCACUACUUUAAAAACACUCCAAAUCAAUGGAGUACUUCAGUUGCUUGGGAGCCAUUACUAUCCAUCAAUUGAGAGCUUGAAGGCAAAUAGAGGUCCUGGUGCACUUUGGUCUUUACCAUUAGAGUUUUUCCCAAAACUCAAAUCUAUUGAAAUUUGGGAUUCUAAUAAUUUUGAAUCUCUUUCGGCAUCAGAUAAAUCUCUCUUGGAUCUAACUUCUCUCACUAAAUUGACCAUGCAUGAGUGCCCUAAUUUUGUAUCCUUUCCUAGUGGGAGAUUGUGCGCCCCAAAUUUGACAGAGAUUUCUAUUUCUUUCUGUAAAAAGUUGAAGUCACUUGCUGAAGGUAUGCACACCCUCCUCCCAUCUCUUCUAUAUUUGGAGUUGUGUUACUGUCCAGAACUAGAAUCAUUUCCUGAAGGGGGUUUGCCCUCUAACUUACAAAUACUUGAAAUCAGUAGCUGCGACAAACUCUUUCUCAGACGCAUGGAGUGGGGUUUACAGAGUCUUCACUCACUCAGAGAAAUUAUAAUUCGGUAUCACGGCAGAGAAGUGGGUUCCUUUCCAGAGGAGGCUUUGUUGCCUCCUUCUCUUAUCCGCCUCACCAUUUCAUUUCCACAUCUGACAUCACUAAAUGGUAGUGGGUUUGAACACCUUGCCUCGCUUAAACAGUUGGAGAUUUGGUCCUGCCAUAACCUCCAGUGCUUACCAGAACAGGGCUUUCCCGCCUCCCUUUCUAUUCUAGAUAUUUAUGAAUGCCCUAUGCUAAAAAAGCGGUAUCGGAGAAAGAAUGGAAAAGAAAGGCGCAAACUUUCUCAUAUCCCCAUCAUAAGGAUUGACGAUGAAGUCAUCACAUAAGCUAUGACUCCAGAAGUACUACUGCCCAGUGUCAUUUUCUGCUGUCGAUAACAAGUGACACGCCUACCAUCAAUUUCAUGCCACUGCUAGCUGCUGAUCCUUUUGUGUUGUGUAUGAACUAUGAAAUAUGUGAAAUGUUUUCAAGUCACUGUAAAGUCCAUUACUCUCAUUCGUGCCAGAGCUGCUUUUGCCUCGUUAUACAUUCAUUGCAUUUUUAGUUUGAACUUUUGAAGUACAGAGCAGGAUUUACUUAACCUAAGGUAAGACACUGGGGCAGUUCAAAGCUAGUGCUGCUUCAAUACCUGCUAAUAGCAGUUCAAACUCACUCCACAUGUCUGGACCUCAGACUCUCUUUUUGAGUUUUGGGAAGUUUUGGUGAAUGGGAAGAUGUGAAGUCCUCCCCAAAUUAAAGGACAGGUUGUUGCCUUUGGUUCUUUGUUCUCUUUUCAAACUUACGAGAGCUCAAAAGGCUUAGCACAUGACCACUCUUGUUGUGACAAUGGUGCCAGAGGCGGAGAAAGAGAACUGAUCAAAGUCUGGGCUGGUGCUUUUACAUGACAAAUCAAGUCCAAUUGGCACACUCAUGUCAUUACCAGCAAUUAUUAAUAUGCUUUUUAAAGCUAGAGAUGCUCUGUGGUUGUUAGGUUUUCAGACACAAAAUGUGUGAAUGUUGAGGCCUCAGACAAUAGUAUACAAAACCAAGACUGGCUGAGGAAUGGUGUGACAAUCACUUUCUGCCUUGAGCUCAAGUAUAUGUUAUCUAGAGAGAUGGGCUGCCACACUGAGGAUUGAUGAGUAGUCUCCUUUGUUGAAGGAACAAUGCUGUGAUGAGAAGAGGGGAAAAGAAUGGAGCAAGAUUGCUCACUUCCCCAUCAUAUUAAUCGAUGAUGAUCAUAUGAAACCGAAAGUGUAGACAAAGUCCUCAUCACUUGUUUUCUUCAUUCACAUGCAGCAACAUAAUAUUACAGUUUGAAAUAACAUUUUAUUGACCAGUCCCAGGAAGAGGCAUUAAUGUGGUCCAUUGCAGAAUAAGCUUGUUCAUUAUUUAGACAUUUAUUUGACUAGGCACUCUCGGAAUUUCAAAUUAUUAAUAGCAUGUUCUGACUUUGUUUUUUGGUUACUACUAAAUUAAGCAUUUGCUUGACUAUUGAUAAUCCUUGGUUUUUUUGUGAACGUUAUGGAUUUAUCAGCUGACUACCAGCAAUUGCUGUUUGAUUUUUAUAAUGUUCAUGGGAUUAGCAUGAGGAGGUAGGGAUGGUUAUAUUUCUGGGAGUGAACUCCAGGCGAAUCUUAAGUUCAUGGAUACAAGUUAUGCUUUGGAAUGAAAGACAGUUCUGAAUCUGCUUUGAUUUUUAUUAUUUUCUUUACUUUUCUUUCUUAAGUUAUUUUCAAGGGGUGUUGCACUAUUCUACAUGUUUUCAAACAACAAUAUGCUGUCAAUAGUCGUAUCAGAUUUCAGUUUGUGAUUUUGAAAAUUAUUACCUUGCAUUAAAUUCCAGGGUGCCUGCAGCCAGCCUACCCAACCUCCCUCUGCACGGACCACACCCAAUACUUCCUAGAAUUUUCCUAAGCUUUUGUACUUGCUAAAGCUACGGGUUGGCCUUAAGGGCUUGUGUUUACUUUUUUUCCAGACAAGACUCCCAAGGGCAAUGGCAAGAAUGACCACAGGUGGUCCUCAUUUUUAGCACUGAAAUUUGAUUCAAAGAACAUGUCCUUCAAGCUAAUCGAGUAUGAAUCAUGAUCUUGAAAUGUCUACAACUCGAUUAUUUUCUAUGACUUGUUGUUUGCUUGGUGAGAGAAGUAAGGUUAGGAAAUUCAGGAGAAAAAGUAUUGUUAAAGAAGUACUAACAGUGGCAGCACUCCAAACUAACCAUAUUUGAUCUCAGCAGGACUCAUUACUCCAGUGCCACCUAAGGCUCUGAGAAGUUCAUUACCGACAUGCUAUGAUCCAAAUGCUUGAUGUGAAUACCAUAUGCAAGGAAGGGGACAUUGGACUUAUGGUUGCUAUUACCUUAAACAUAAGAUUCAAGACCUCAUCGACCAGGAUCUUUGGAGUCCGUAUGCUAGUCUCAUUAGUCGUCUAGAAAGAGGGGAUGCAUAAAGUUGCUGCAAGACCACUCAUACAAUACCAGAGACAAUGACAUGGUCGAUAUUGAGAGCUAUGGCCAGUUAACCCUAUCUCCAAUACCUUCUGCUAUUCACAAAACUGUAGGCUUGCUACAUCCAAUGAAUGUUAUAGUCAAGAAUAUAUUCUACACAAUUCGGUAGAGUAUGCUUUGACUUAACAAUUGCUCCACAUUUCUUUAAUUCAUGGAUUCUUCUUAUUUGUGGAUGCAUAGACUGGUUUUGCAGACCCACCACAUGCAAGGAGUAUAUUGCUGUUACACAACCAAGUUGUUUAUCAAAUACAGAAUUUCAUUUUACAGCCAGAUAUAUGCCAAAAAGACAUGGAUCAACAUCAGUUCUCUUUUUUGUUGGUACUCAUUAAACAUAUUUUUGACCAUCACCUCUCCUUUUAAUUCUCUGUACAACACAUUGUCAAGCCCAAGAUCAAAAUCCAUUCUAAAUGGAUUAUGGAACUAAAUGGCAUUAGCUCAUAUACUUUAAACCAUUGAGCUGAUUUUCAUUAUAAUAGAAAUAGAGAAGAAUUGUAUA